rnacentral:rRNA from 1 species
AGUGAACGCUGGCGGUAGGCCUAACACAUGCAAGUCGAACGGCAGCACAGUAAGAGCUUGCUCUUACGGGUGGCGAGUGGCGGACGGGUGAGGAAUACAUCGGAAUCUACUUUUUCGUGGGGGAUAACGUAGGGAAACUUACGCUAAUACCGCAUACGACCUACGGGUGAAAGCAGGGGAUCUUCGGACCUUGCGCGAUUGAAUGAGCCGAUGUCGGAUUAGCUAGUUGGCGGGGUAAAGGCCCACCAAGGCGACGAUCCGUAGCUGGUCUGAGAGGAUGAUCAGCCACACUGGAACUGAGACACGGUCCAGGCUCCUACGGGAGGCAGCAGUGGGGAAUAUUGGACAAUGGGCGGAAGCCUGAUCCAGCCGUACCGCGUGGGUGAAGAAGGCCUUCGGGUUGUAAAGCCCUUUUGUUGGGAAAGAAAAGCAGCAGGUUAAUACCCCGCCGUUCUGACGGUACCCAAAGAAUAAGCACCGGCUAACUUCGUG